UGUUCUAUUCGAAACCCUCUUCUGCUCUUCGUCUUUACGGUCUGCUCUCCCUCUCCCUCUCCCUCUCCCGCUCUUUGUCUUUCCUCUCACUCUCAGUCUCACUACGCUGACCCCCGAAGUCGCCAUUCGCAACACUGGCCAUCGUAGUGGCUUAGCCCUAUUAAUCGAGCCCUAUCUCAGCCUCUCUCAUUCUCAUUUCUCACUUAGCACUACCACCGCUGUUCAUUGAUCUGGCCACCCAUUCAUAGCCCUCGACCGCUCCGACCACCCAUUCGGCAUUGUCUAAGCAAUUGUCUUGUCGUUUACUCACUGUUAAGGACUGGAGUUCGGCAGCUGAUAGCGAUUCCAGGUCUACCAACGUUUGGUUUAGAACAGGAAGAUCGAUUCCAGACGUGAUUUGCUCAACAUUUCGCCUACUCUAACCGAGGCUGCUGGUGCCAUUGUUGAUG